UGCCUAGUGGCGGACGGGUGAGUAACGCGUGGGUAACCUGCCUUACACAGGGGGAUAACACUUAGAAAUAGGUGCUAAUACCGCAUAAGCGCACAGGGCCGCAUGGCCCGGUGUGAAAAACUCCGGUGGUGUAAGAUGGACCCGCGUCUGAUUAGCUUGUUGGCGGGGUAGGGGCCCACCAAGGCGACGAUCAGUAGCCGGCCUGAGAGGGUGGACGGCCACAUUGGGACUGAGACACGGCCCAAACUCCUACGGGAGGCAGCAG
rnacentral:rRNA from 1 species